AUACCCUAUUAUUCUUGAGGUAAUUAUUCUUAGGUAGUAGUUGAUAAACCCUUGAAACCUAAAGGACUUGGCGGUGUUUAAUUUAAUCAGAGGAAUCUGCUCAGUAAACGAUGAACCACGGUAAAUCUUACCUGUUUAAGGCCUGUAUACCGUUAUCUAAAUACUUUUGAUAGAAGGUUAUUUGAAUUAAUAGAAUACAUAUGUUAGAUCUAGGUGCAGCUUUAACAGGGUGAGGUGGAUUACAAUGGAGGAACAGUUAGAAUAACCUUAGAAGACGGUUAGGAAAAUGGAUUUGAAAGUAAUUUGAUUUUAAUAAGGUCAGAUGAGUGAAAUUUUAAGCACGUACACAUCG
rnacentral:rRNA from 1 species